UUAUCUUGUUCCAAUUGUUGGCCCAUUUCCUACUGCUGUCACUAAUUUAUUAGAUCUUACUAGACUGGAUCUGCAUAAUAACAAGCUGACAGGCCCUCUUCCUUCUCAAAUUGGGCGUUUGAAGCGUCUUAAAAUAUUAAACGUAAGGUGGAAUAAGCUGCAAGAUGUCAUUCCACCUGAAAUAGGUGAACUAAAGCUGUUAACA